rnacentral:tRNA from 1 species
UAGAAUAUAGUGUAGUACUGGUAGCACGGAGUUUUUUGAAUUCUCAAGGGUAGGUUCAAUUCCUAUAAUUCUAG